AGUCAAUCUGUGCACAGGCAAUAUCCAUAAUUGUAUUAUUUUUUCUUCCCAGCAGCAUCAUGUGAUCAAGAGCUCCAAUCAGCACUAGAAGAAGCUAAACAGCCCCAGAAAGAUAAUGUAUUCAUUCCAGAGUGUGCUAAUGGUGGGCUUUAUAAAUCAGUGCAGUGUCACCCAUCCACAGGAUAUUGCUGGUGUGUCCUUGUUGAUACAGGACGCCCAAUUCCUGGUACAUCCACAAGAUAUGAACAGCCAAAGUGUGAUAACAGUGCUAGAGCUCACCCAAGCAACACAAGAGACGUGUUCAAAGGGCGCCCAUUGCAAGGUUGUCCUGGUGCCAAAAAGAGUGAAUUUCUGACCAGUGUUCUAGAUGCACUUUCCACAGAUAUGGUGCAUGCUGUCUCUGACCCUGGAGUAUCUUCCAGCAGGUGGGUUCUUCUUUCCCAAAAGGAGUGGACAUUUCCU
rnacentral:lncRNA from 1 species